rnacentral:rRNA from 1 species
AUUGAACGCUGGCGGCAGGCUUAACACAUGCAAGUCGAGCGAGCGGCGGACGGGUUAGUAAUGUCUGGGAAACUGCCUUAUGGAGGGGGAUCACUACUGGAAACUGUAGCUAAUACCGCAUACCAUCAUAUUUGCCCAGAUGGGAUUAGCUAGUGGGUGGGGUAAAGGCUCACCUAGUCGACGAUCCCUAGCUGGUCUGAGAGGAUGACCAGCAACACUGGAACUGAGACACGGUCCAGACUCCUACGGGAGGCAGCAGGGGGGAAUAUUGCACAAUGGGCGCAAGCCUGAUGCAGCCAUGCCGCGUGUGUGAAGAAGGCCUUCGGGUUGUAAAGCACUUUCAGCGAGGAGGCGUUACUCACAGAAGAAGCACCGGCUAACUCCGUGCCAGCAGCCGCGGUAAUUC